GUCCCUUUGCCCUUCCUUUGUCUUCUGCCAUGAUUGUGAGGCUUCCCUAGCCACGUGGAACUGAGUCUAUUAAACCUCUUUCCUUUAUAACUUACCCAGUCUUGGGUAUGUCUUUAUUAACAACAUAAGAUUGGACUAAUACAGUAGAGGAAAUGUAAGUGUGCUUAUUUCCUCAUCCUUCUUAGUAGCAAGUCAAUAAAUACUCUCCUAAGUCAAAUUGUCAUUAAAAAUAACUAUCCAAAUCUCUUGUUGGUUUAUUUAAUCUUCUUUAUUAACUUUAGAGUGUUCUUUCGGGAAUUAAUCAUGGUUUAAAAAAUAUCAAACAUUCAACAACUCUAAUUUUACUUUAAUGUCUUUUUUUCUAAUAUAUCUAAUAAAAUUGCAUUAAAUUUUUAAGUUGAAAUUGCA
rnacentral:lncRNA from 10 species